rnacentral:rRNA from 1 species
AGCGAACGCUGGCGGCAGGCUUAACACAUGCAAGUCGAGCGGGCCGUUCGGGGUCAGCGGCGGACGGGGGUGUAACGCGUGGGAACGUGCACUCGGGUUCGGAAUAACUCAGGGAAACUUGAGCUAAUACCGGAUACGCCCUUUUGGGGGAAGGCUUGCUGCCGGAGGAUCGGCCCGCGUCUGAUUCGCUAGUUGGUGAGGUAACAGCUCACCAAGGCGCCGAUCAGUAGCUGGGCUGAGAGGAGGGUCAGCCACACUGGGACUGAGGAACGGCCCAGACUCCUACGGGAGGCAGCAGUGGGGAAUAUUGGACCAUGGGCGCAAGCCUGAUCCUGCCCGGCCGCGUGAGUGAUGUAGGCCUUAGGGUUGUAAAGCUCUUUUAUCCGGGACGAUAAUGACGGUACCGGAGGAAUAAGCCCCGGCUAACUUCGUG